UAUACUUCAACGAAGAAGCAGUUGUGGGUAAAACUUUUACCAUAUCGUGAGUAUCGUGUGAAUCUAAUGGUCGUCCCUGACCAAGUUAUACGUACCAUUGUCCACAAUGGCAGUAAGGUCGUCAGUAUUGACAAGACGUAUACCAUAGAUGUCGUACAGUAUAGUCAUGCUGGAUUUUAUAAAUGUAUUGCAGAGAAUAAACUUGGAAUUUGGU